AUUGAACGCUGGCGGCAGGCCUAACACAUGCAAGUCGGGCGGUAACAGGAAUCAGCUUGCUGAUUCGCUGACGAGCGGCGGACGGGUGAGUAAUGUCUGGGAAACUGCCUGAUGGAGGGGGAUAACUACUGGAAACGGUAGCUAAUACCGCAUAACGUCUUCGGACCAAAGUGGGGGACCUUCGGGCCUCAUGCCAUCAGAUGUGCCCAGAUGGAAUUAGCUAGGUGGUGGGGUAACGGCUCACCAAGGCGACGAUCCCUAGCUGGUCUGAGAGGCAGACCAGCCACACGGGAAAUGACACACGGUCCAGACUCCUACGGGGGGCAGCAGUGGGGAAUAUUGCACAAGGGGCGCAAGCCUGAUGCAGCCAUGCCGCGUGUAGGAAGAGGGCCUUCGGGUUGUAAAGUACUUUCAGCGGGGAGGAAGGUGUUGAGGUUAAUAACCACAGCAAUUGACGUUACCCGCAGAAGAAGCACCGGCUAACUCCGUGCCAGCCGCCGCCGUAACAC
rnacentral:rRNA from 1 species